CACGUAGGCGGCAUGGUAAGUCAUGGGUGAAAGCCCUCGGCUCAACCGAGGAACUGCCUUUGAAACUGCCUUGCUUGAGUCCGGGAGGGGGGAGCGGAAUUCCCAGUGUAGCGGUGAAAUGCGUAGAUACUGGGAGGAACACCGGUGGCGAAGGCGGCUCCCUGGACCGGUACUGACGCUGAGGUGCGAAAGCGUGGGUAGCAAACA
rnacentral:rRNA from 1 species